rnacentral:rRNA from 1 species
GUACACUCCUACGGGAGGCAGCAGUGGGGAAUAUUGCACAAUGGGCGCAAGCCUGAUGCAGCCAUGCCGCGUGUAUGAAGAAGGCCUUCGGGUUGUAAAGUACUUUCAGCGGGGAGGAAGGCGAUAAGGUUAAUAACCUUGUCGAUUGACGUUACCCGCAGAAGAAGCACCGGCUAACUCCGUGCCAGCAGCCGCGGUAAUACGGAGGGUGCAAGCGUUAAUCGGAAUUACUGGGCGUAAAGCGCACGCAGGCGGUCUGUCAAGUCGGAUGUGAAAUCCCCGGGCUCAACCUGGGAACUGCAUUCGAAACUGGCAGGCUAGAGUCUUGUAGAGGGGGGUAGAAUUCCAGGUGUAGCGGUGAAAUGCGUAGAGAUCUGGAGGAAUACCGGUGGCGAAGGCGGCCCCCUGGACAAAGACUGACGCUCAGGUGCGAAAGCGUGGGGAGCAAACAGGAUUAGAUACCCCUGGUAGUCCC